GGUCAAGGGCGAGAUUGAUAAUCUGUUGAGGAGCUUUUGUAUCACAGAAAAUUACUAUCAGGUGGGUUACUUUCAUAUAUAUCAAAUGAGUUUAAUGUUAUGUUUGAACAGUUAUUUCAUUGCAAAAUCUUUGAACUGAAAAUUAUUUCAACUGUUGUCUUGCCAUAAAUGUUUCAAUGUUUGGUAUGAUAUCUAUCUGAUGUGGCUUUGCCAGUUAUUAUGAAAUCGAAUUCGGGUCCUGAGCAGUUGAUAGCUAUCCUGCCAGGGCUAGUGUACACCAGUGACCGUGAGUCAUCUAGCGGGUUGGCCGGUCAAGUGUCCGUGAGAGGUGGCCACCUCUCCGGCACACAGUUCCAGAUAUGAUAGAUUACAGAACUUAGACUGCAGUCGAACUUUAAGAAUCACAAAUGAAUUUAGUAAGCUUGGGCCUUUUAGCGAAAAACUCCCUUGCUGUACUGUUUAUGAUGGCAUGACAAUUUACAGUUUUGAAGCAUGUAUUUUUAUACUUAGGCAUACGUGCCCACUGAGUACUUUUGUACUCAAGCCCUGCAUAUAUUUCUAAAUGUGCAGGUUGAGCAGCUGCCGAUGGUGAUGAAGUGACGAGCGAGACUCUUUUGUCUUAUUAUGUAUUAAUGAACUCUAGGGUUACAUGUCUUCAUACAUGUAAUCAGAACCGUAUUCCGCUGCGUACUCAGAAGUUUUAUGUUAUUUUGGAUAAGUCGGAGUUAUCCAAACUUACUAGUUAUUUGAGUCUAUACGACUAAAACUCCG
rnacentral:lncRNA from 1 species